UGUAAACCAAUUGAUAUAUAUUUAAAUAUUACCUACUUGUUUACUUUGACAAUACGACAAUAGUUCGACCGUCUUUAACCUAUAUCUAUGUAAAGAGGACGUUAUUUGUUUUUUUUAUUUUAAAACAUUUAUUCGAAAUAAAUGUAAUGCAACCAGUAGUUACAAAAAAGGAAGCACUCUAUCGAUAACAGCGUUGAAUAGACAAAUAGAUAUUUCCGUAUAUUCAAUUAAAAGUGAGACAUUAGAAAAUCUUUAAAAGAAAUGGAUAUAGUGUACCAAUAUCGAGGAAUUGCGCAGAGAUGGAACUUAUUGUUUUUGUAUCAACUCGUUAUUCUCGUUGUAUGGAAAGACAUUUACACACCGACUUAAGAUUUUUAUUUAUUUACAUAUGAGAAGGUGAGUUUUUUUUAACACUUAUUCUUAAAUCUAAUGCUAUCUGCAGAAAGUUAAAAAAAUCAGUUUAAUGAUGACAAUGUUGACAGUAGAAAUCGAACAUUAGCUGUUAUUGCAUUUGAAUUUUAAUGCACCAUUCAUGAUCAACUAUGUAAAAAUGAAACAAAAAGCGUUUAUUCAUAUAUAAAACGACCGAUGAAUGAAAUAUCUCGUUUUUGUCAUUUGCUAACUUCAUCUUAUAACUGUCGCCAAAAUGUAUACCGAUAAGUACUUUUUUGUAACUGUUUUAGUCUCAAAACUGAUCAAAUAGUUCGUUUUAAUGUAUGCUAUCCAUAAUCUUAAUAUGUUCAAUUGUUAUCGUUGUGUCCUGUUAAAAUGACUUAUAUAAAUUAUAUAAAUUGACAAAUAAAAGAAGGUCAACAAGUCUGUGUGCACUCAGUCAUUCCCCUUAUAUAAGACUGAGGCGUAACAACACACAUUAAGAAUCAAUUGAAAAUCUUUCGAAUCAUUACAUUGUAUUUUUCCAUUUUUCCAUUUUUCCAUUUUGUCUUAAUAUAGUAUAUUUUUGUCGUCUUAAAUAAUUUGUCUGCAGACUUAAACGGUUAAAAGCAAGUUUAGAUUGUAGUAUGGUAAAUGUUUAAUGAUCAAAGACCGUAUUUAGACAUCGAUGAUUCUAUUCCUUGUAAAUUUGAAUUGUUGUAAUUUUUUAAAAUUUAAUGAUCAUAUCCUUUUUUUAAAUUUUUCUUUCAAAAAAUGUCAAAAUUGAAAAGAGAGGCAAAAUAUACCAAAGGGAUAUUCAAACUCAUAUGUCGAAAAUAAACUAAUACGCCAAGGAAAGAAAAAGAAAAGGACUAAAAGAUAAACAACAGUGGACAAAACACAACAUUGUAAACUAAAGUCGGGGCGACACGAUCCCAACCGAUAACCGGGGAUGAUCUCAUGUGCACCGGAAGGAUGCAGAACCUGCUUCAUCUGUGGCACCCGUCGUGUUGCUCAUGUAAGAACAAAUCCUUGUUACUUGUCUUGAAUUUGCCAGAUAGAGAGGCCGCUUUUCCUUCUUUUAAAGGAAAUGUGCUUUUGCCAUGCUAUGUAAUGAUCAUGAGAAAUUAAUGAAUUCGUUCGCAGUGUUUACUACAAAAUCGACGGUUUGUAUCUCUAAUAAAUUAAAAUUCGAAUCGAGUAUUUUGAUAUGUAAGUAAGUGAUAUCGUUGUCAUUUUAAAGUUAUGAAGAAGACAUAUAUACAUUUUGUACAUGUCCUUGCACAUAUAAUUUGCAAAUCAAUUGAUAAAUAUAAAUAUUACCUAUUUGUUAACCUUAUCCGCUUUAUUUGUUUUUUUAUUUUAAAACUUUUAUGCGAAAUACAUGUAAGGCAACCAGAAGUAAGAAGAAAGGAAGUACUCUACCGAUACCAACUUUGACAAGACAAAUCAUUAUACCCGUAUAAUCCACAUAGGGGUCAUACCACUACGCGAGUAAACAGUUUCACAGUAUUUCUGAAGACCUUCUGUCACUGCGGAUAUGUUUUUUGUCAAUCUAAUGGACAAUUCCCUUGUAGAACAUGCAGAUGAGCCGACAAUGUACCGUUGUUUGUACGGAAUUUUGUGAAGCUCAGGUAUCCAAUACAAACAAGAUUCAGUCCAAAAAGGAAAUAUUUUGAAAAAACAUGAGUAUAUUGGACCAAAUUGGAGAAUAUCGGGGAAUUGCGCAGAAAUGGAGCUUACUGUUUAUGUAUCGAGUCUUUAUUCUCGUAUCUUGGAAUGAUAUUACCACAUCUACUAGGAAUUCAGCAUCUCUUAUAUUUCUUUUAUUACUUGUACAAAAAACAGAUACAUUGAAAUGUGCUUACAUUGACAUUUUUUGUUUGAUGUUUAUAAUUUUAUAAUGGCCAUUUACAAGUCCGAAAUAUUU